rnacentral:rRNA from 1 species
AACGAACGCUGGCGGCAGGCUUAACACAUGCAAGUCGAGCGCCCCGCAAGGGGAGCGGCAGACGGGUGAGUAACGCGUGGGAAUCUACCCAUCUCUACGGAAUAACUCAGGGAAACUUGUGCUAAUACCGUAUACGCCCUUCGGGGGAAAGAUUUAUCGGAGAUGGAUGAGCCCGCGUUGGAUUAGCUAGUUGGUGGGGUAAAGGCCUACCAAGGCGACGAUCCAUAGCUGGUCUGAGAGGAUGAUCAGCCACAUUGGGACUGAGACACGGCUCAAACUCCUACGGGAGGCAGCAGUGGGGAAUAUUGGACAAUGGGCGCAAGCCUGAUCCAGCCAUGCCGCGUGAGUGAUGAAGGCCUUAGGGUUGUAAAGCUCUUUCACCGGAGAAGAUAAUGACGGUAUCCGGAGAAGAAGCCCCGGCUAACUUCGUGCCAGCAGCCGCCGUAACAC